CUUCCUGUCAGAAAGUACAUCGGACCCCAUGGAAAAAAAAUCCACCCAGCACUCCCAGAGGUAGAAAACUAAAAUAGAAAAAGUAAUCGGUUAAUGUUUGGGGGAGGAGGGGAGGUUCUGUCACUGCGUGUAUAUCAGUGUUUGUCUGGCUGUCAGUGUGUGUAUGUCUGUCAGUGUGUGUCUGAGUGAUUGUGUGUGUAUGGCUGUCAGUGUCUCUGUCACUGUGUGGCUGUCUGUCAGUGAGUGAGAGUGUGUGUGUCUGUCAGUGAAUGUGUGUUUGUUUCUCAGUGAUUGUGUCUGUGAGUGCACCUGUAACCUUUCCUGGUAAGUUUUAUACUGCAAUCCAUGAACCAGUUUAGUAGCGCUUCUCUGAACUCUCUCUAAAGUAUCAAUAUCCUUCUGGAGAUAUGGUCUCCAUAAUGGGUAAUCUCCUAUGUCCCUUUGUUUUAGCCAAAUAACUAACUCUGUUACAGCUUCCCUAAACCAACAUUACCCUUGAAAUAAAUAACACUGACAACAUUCUGGGAGGUAAAGACAUCAUUGCACGUAUUUAUUGAAUACAUCACCAUGGCAUCAUGGCAGAAAAACCAUUCAAACAGAACGGCCGUAAAAUAUAAAUAGUAACCAAAUUUAGCUAGGGUGGCGGUGCUGAGGGCUAAACUCCUCAGCCCACAAGAGGAUGCGGCUCAUCCUAAUCCUGCAGCGGAGCACCCGUUGUAGCCACCCAAGCAUAGACAUAAGGACACCUUGAACGCUGACUGCAGGCGGGCGCCCCAGCCGGGCCAUUGCCCAAGAGGGAGAAAAGCCCAGCCUCCUUGCCGCCGUAACUCCCACUCUCACUCUCUGCACCACGCCCUACAGCCUCACCAUCUCGCCAUAAGAGAUACAAUCUCUUGCUGCCAACCAACAGCCUUUAUAGUAAUUUUUUUUUUUGCAGCCCUGGUUAGACACAGGGCACCAGAGUCUCAUGAAAGUCAGAAAUUUGAAAUCACUUAUUCACUUCUAUUAUGGUGGGAGGUUGUUUGUGGUUAAAUUAUGUGAGGGGUUAUUCCCACACUAACUGAACCUUUUUCUCUGGAUAUUGGCAUUUAGUUUGUAAAGCAUGCUAGCAGCCAUUUAGCCUCAUAGUCUUGCGAAAGAGGAUACAGAGACAGUGUAUCUUAUGUGAAGCUUGAAAAAGGACACCAGCAGCCUUUUAGUCUUAUAGCCUUGCUACAGAGGAUACAGGGUCAAUGUAUCAUACAUGAAGUGAUACAAUGUAUUUACUCUGGCUAAAUAGAUGGUGCGUGUUCCUAAGCACCACCCCAGCUAGAUAUUCGCUAGUUUGGCACCAUAUAGCAUGUCUUAGAAUAUCGAACAUCUAGGGAGAGUGGAAUGUGGGAAUGAUCUAUAGCCAUAGUCACUCUCAGGUUUGCUUCACAUGAACUCUGUCACUGACUCUAUUUUGUAUUCUAUAUAUGUACUAUAGAGAUAUAUUUACCAGUAACUUACCAUACGGGCUUAAUAGGUCCGGCUGUCACAACGCCUCAAGACGCAAAUUUGUAUAGCCAAUGGGCUGCAUAUAGCUCGUGUCCUAAGAACAAACUAACGGUAAAGCAAGCAGGAGCGAUAUCAGAUGAGCAGGGUUUAUGGGUUCCCGAGUGUCCAGCGGACAAGACUCUGACUUACUGCAACCCCUGAGAACCUGCCUAACCAUGAAAAACCUAGAAGGAACUGGCUUACCUGCAAAUCUCAAAAAGAAGGAAAGAGCAGCGAGUCUGGUCCCCACCAUAGCUCUAGAACGAACACGGCCACGGGAAUGCAAUGUAGCCAGCCAACUCAAAAAACAACUGACUGAUCACAGAAACACGAGCACCACAGCUUCACUGCCACCACUAUUUGGUAAAGUUCCAGGAGAGUAAGGUUUCUCGUAAGGCCCCUAGCAUGCCACGAAAGCAGCCAGGGGGCGGCACUCCAAGACACCUGAAAAAAGGCCCCAUAACCACAAGAACCAAAAGCAUCCAUAAUCAAAUGGAGAGACUGGUUAGAGGAAGGACCCGACUGACAAAAACGAACUCCGUUGAAGUCCUGCAAAAAACACCCCCAGGCGCGAAGUUUGUCCAACAUGUGCUUAGACAAGGAGAUCUUAGCUAAACUUGCCGCAAAGGGCCAUCCCCAGAUGCCUAUUGAAUACCCGACUCAUGGGAAUAACCCUGCAGGAAAAGUUGAGAGGCCCAGAAGGGAUUGCUGCCACAGCCAUACGAACCAAAAGCAGCGUCCUAUCAACCUUGUCCUGUGGUAGCCUGCACUGCAUUAAAGAGGUGUCUAUUUCAAUUCCCAAAAAGGCAAGCACUUCUGUAGGCCCCACAUACUUUUCCUCUGCCAAGCGAACACCAAAUUCAGCCAUGAGACUUCUUAUGAUGGACAUCAAAUAGGAGCAAUGAAGUUAGCCGUCAGGACCCACAAAUAGUGCACUACUGAUGUGCUUCCGGCAACUGAGGCCACGGGCCAGUGCAAAAAUGAACUGAAAGAUUCAAAGAAAGCACAUGGCACUGAACAGCCCAUCGGUAAGCACUUAUCUAAGUAAUAAGCCCCAUCAAACUUAAAACCCAUCCACCAAAAUGAAAAAAGGUGGAGAGUGAGAAGGGAAAAGCAGACUCAAUGUCAAACUUCACCAACAAAACCCUCCUGGCCUGCUUUUCAGGCCAACGCCACAGCAUCAUCAAACAGCUGGUAGUGAACCGAACUAAGGGCUGAAUCAAUGGCAUCAUUAACUGAUGCCCUGUCAGGGUAUGACAAGUGUUGAAUGAGCCUAAACAUGACGGGCUCCCUUUUGGGCACUAUAACCAAUGGUGAAAUAACCAAGUCUUCCAGGUGGGAGAGCAAAGGGGAGAGCUAUCCUUCCCAGAGAGACCUCCUUAGCUAGUUUGUCCAUGACCACUUGGGGGAAAGAAUAGGCUGAUUGAAGAUUCCUUGGAGGAACCUUACCAGGGAAGUAACCCGAAACUGGGAUCACAAAACACUCCUGAAGACCAGACAGAAGCCAUUCAGCUUGCUGCCUGGGAGGGUCAAAAGUCAGUACCUGUCAAUUGUGACCACCUUCAGUGGAGUUGGAGCCUUUGAGAGAGGAGAAUGAGCGACCAGAGUAGGCCUGCGACUGAGAAGGUUGCUUGCACUCCGCUCCAGUAUGGCCACCCCCACAGAAUCCGCAGACCUGACGAAAGGAGCAAACAGCUCCCUUCUUACGUUGCUUAUCCCGGAAUUUCCAGCAUUCACGCUCCUUCUGUCUGCGACGGUGAAAACCGCAGGAAUACUGUGAAAAAAUGCUUCCCUUAGUAGGCAAGACCCUCUCUGGCCCCAAGUGCGACAACAGAUGCAUAUCUCGCACAGCUAAGGACAGAGAGAUAUUACUUGCCAUGCUCCUCCUAAACUUUGAAUCAUACUCCUUCCAUGCCCCUUCCCUAAAAUGAUGAUAAAUAUAAUCCAUCGUCUUGAUGUACUUGAUAACAGGAAUGGCCUGCACUGGAUGCUUUCCCAAGAGACAGGAAGCCAGCACCCGAAAGCAGCGUUGCCACUCAUCAAACGAUUCUAGGCAUUUGGGACAUUUCAUACCCGACUCCCCGUCAGCUCUCUCCUUAAUCAUAUAAGCCUCAGAAAAGAGCUCAAAAAUGCGGACAUAUUUAAAUUCCCAGCUUUUUGCCUUUACCUUGGACUUGAGAUGUCCAUGGAGGGAGUAAACAGAACAGGGGUACAAGUCCUGUUGAAUGGCUUCCCUGCACAGCAACAAAUCUUGACCAAGGCAAGAGGAGGGGGAUGUCAGCGAUGCAAAGGCAGAACAGAUCCGCCCACAGCGCCCAGGUGACUCCCCCUUCCUUCUGUCUUAGGUGUGAUGGAUACAUCCUCUAGUAAUAACCGAAAUAGAUUUCUCCUCGACAUCACUGCCCUUUGCAACAAGAAAAGCUUUUCAUGCAAAGCCCUGAUGGACUCAGGUGUGGCGGGAAAGUUUAUUGACGUGCAUUUUGUAAUGAAACACUCCAUACCGAUCAAGGACAGAUCAUCACCUCAGGUCAUUGAGGCUUUUGACGGGAGACCUCUCUCUCAACCUCUGAUUACCCAAGAAACCAUGCCUAUUAACAUUUAUAUAGGAGCAUUACACAAGGAAGACAUAGCAUUCCAGAUAAUUGCUUCUCCUUCUUGUUCAUUCAUAUUAGGAUUUCUUUGGCUCAUUAAGCACAAUCCUCAUAUAGAUUGGACUAAGGGUGAAAUACUAGAAUGGAUUUAAGACUGUUUAGAGAGAUAUAUGUUACCAAUUACCAAGAGAGUGGGCAUCGUUACUUUGCCCACCAAUAUACCUCAGACCUCUGAAAUUCCUGUACAGUACUGGGAGGUUAAAGAGGUGUUCAGUAAGAGCCAGACUAAUAUUCUACCUCCUCACAGAUCAUAUGAUUACUCAAUAAAUCUGCUACCCGGCGCUAUGCCUCCUAAGGCGGCAGCAUAUGCCUUAUCCCCACAGGAGAGUAGAAUCAUGGAAGAGUACAUCCUCGCCUGCUGGAGCUGGGUUAUUUUUUGUCUCCAAAAAAGAUGGAGAAUUAUGGCCAUGCAUUGAUUACAGGGCUUUAAACAAGAUCACCAUAACAAAUGCCUAUCCCAUUCCCCUUAACUCCAAAUUGUUUGACAGACUCCAGGGUGCUGCUAAGAUAUUUACUAAACUUGACCUUAGAAGUGCGUACAAUUUGGUAAGGAUUAAGGAAGAUCAUGAGUGGAAAACGGCAUUUAACACUAGAAGUGGGCACUACGAAUACCUUAUCCAGACUUAUCACAACCAGGUCAAACAAGUGCUGCAAACUUUGCUUAAAAUUUUUCUUUAUUGCAAGCUUGAAAAAUGCAUCUUUGACCAGUCGGAGGUACAGUUUUCGGGGUAUAAUAUCUCUGCUUCUGGUUUCCAAAUGGAUCCUCGUAAACUAUAGGCUGUUCUACAUUGGCCAUUACCUAGCUUCUGCAGCAUAUCUGUGGAUGCUGGCCACUGCAGAUACAUGCCAUAUUAUAGCCCCACGUCCCCCAUGGUAAUGGCGGUGUCGACGUGCGUGUGAAAGCUUGUAAUAGACGCUCGCGCAUGUUUUGGGGUCAAAGGCCGGUUACGGCCAAUCGGACCUGCAAGAGGGUUAUUUAAACUCAUUUCUACUUUCACUUAUUGCCCUGUCAUGGUUUCCCUUAGUUGGUUAUCUGAGAGUGUGUUACUGAUUAUUCAUUUCUGGUUAUUGACUUGAGCUUCGUUUUGACUUCCCUGUAUUCUGGUAUCCUUAAAGGGACACUCCAGGCACCCAGACUACUUCUGCCCAUUGGAGUGGUCUGGGUGCCAACACCCACUACUCUUAACCCUGCAACUGUAAUUAUUGCAGUUUUUUAUAAACUGCAAUAAUUACAUUGCAGGGUUAACUCCACCUCUAGUGGCUGUCUAGUAGACAGCCACUAGAGGGCACUUCCUUGUCCACAGCACAGAAAAUCUGUGCUAGAGCAUUGCUGGAUGUCCUCACGCUGUGUGAGGACCUCCAGCGUUGCUCAUUUCCCCAUAGGAAAGCAUUGAAAUGCAUUUUCAAUGCUUUCCUAUGGGGAGCGCUAAUUUGCAGCGCAUGCGCAUUAGGUCUCCCCGGCCGGUGGGCGGGAUCAGUCUCGCCCACCCGCUGACGCAAUCAGAAGGAGGAGCGGCACGGAGGAAGAAGCAGCGACGUGGGACAUAGUCGCUGCCUCUGGUAAAUUACUGAAGGGGUUUUCACCCCUUCAGCAACCGGGGAUGGGAGGUGGGAGGGAGAGGGACCUGCAGUGCCAGGAAAACGGAUUGUUUUCCUGGCACUGGAGUUUCCCUUUAACUUUUGACUUUCCCUCAUCAUUAUGUCUCCUUCUGUGUCCCUGACCUCGGCAAGUAUUCUGACUAUUCUUUGACUAUUCUUUGGUACGUAAGUCCGGCAAUUCUAAGGCGCGGUAAGACAUUACCUUUAGUCCUAGGUGUGAUAUAAUUCUAUGUGCUGGAUCAACUAGUAUCCUGACAAGCGCAUCUACCCCAAGGGGAGCGUGCAUGGCAGUGAUGUUAUAACCUGGUGCGUGGGGGCAGCCGAAGACAGUGCACAUCAUUGGAUCAACAAGCAGUCUGGUGCGUAAGGGAGAAUGGAGCAAACAAAAGCAAAAUAGCAGAAGACGUACACCCUCUAUGUCAGGGGUUCUCAACCCAGUUCUCAGGACCCCCUACCAGUCCAGGAUUUGGGGAUUACCUGGGUGUGUCUAAGGUGUUUAGAAAAAGGGAAGAAAAAAAAACCUUAGACUCUAAGGUGUUUUUUUUUCUUUUUCUAAACACCUUAGACACACCCAGGUAAUCCCUAAACCCUGGACUGGUAGGGGGUCCUUGAGGGCAAGGUUGAGAACCCCUGCUCUACGUACACCCUCUAGACACUGCUUGAGAAACUGGCAAUGAUAGCCCUGGCAUGCCUAGGCCCAGAUUCAAAGGCAAAGGAGAGUUAAUGGACCCCACAGCACUGUUACCCUGAGAAGUAGGCAGCAAAACCUGGAGAGGCCUGGGUAAUCCUGGACCCAGUAAAGCUGAGUUUAGGCUUAGCUCACGGCAGCCGCCAGCCUAUCCCCCUCUCCCCGCCACCCAGGAAACUUACCUUACCUUUACCUUACCUUACCUGGAAGAGUGUGGGGGAUCUCCUUGCAGCCAGCCGGUGAAAAUUAAUGGCGGGGUCUGCCAUAGCCACACAGGUAAGGGGCAAGUAGUGAGCAGGGGCACUGGAUGCCUCAGGUGAAAGUAUAGGGAGAGGGGAGCAGGGAUGUCCUUGACUGCCUGAGUAAAUGCAGCCAAUGCAGAGAGAGCAUUGGAGGGUAGGGAGGAAAACUGAGCAGCCAUGUGCUGCAAGGACUCAGCUGAAGGGGGAGGGAGGUAGAAGAUACAGGAGGGGAUAGGGAAUGGAGGACAGGAGGGGGUAAAGGAAGCUGAACAGCAGCAGAAGGAAGGUAAGAGACAGAAAGGGAAGAAACCUUAGAAACAGGAGUGGAAAUUAUAUCAGGUGGAGGAGUUGGAGAAAUCUCCUCAAUACUCAUCUCUUGUUCUUCCAUUACAGGACGUCAAGAAGAAAGAGGGAUGGAGUCUCUGAACCUCUUUGGGGGACCCACACAGGGACAAGACCUUUCCAUGUUGAAGAGGAAUUCACCAGUACUUCAGGAGACAGCAAGAACCAAAAGGAGUGACAUGAAACAGAGGAGUCUCUUAAAAGUUAAGGGGAGGCCCCUCCCAUCAUACUGCAACAUUUUCCUGAUUAAACUUCAAUCCCGGUAGAAGAUCCCAUUAAUUACGUUUAAGGCCCACUAGGGGGGCCUACACUCCCAGUACUUCGUACAAUACUCCAAGUGAGGUCUCACCAGUGUUCUGUACAAUGGCAUGAGCACUUCCCUCUUUCUACUGCUAAUACCUCUCCCUAUACAACCAAGCAUUCUGCUAGCAUUUCCUGCUGCUCUACUACAUUGUCUGCCUACCUUUAAGUCAUCAGAAAUAAUCACCCCUAAAUCCCUUUCCUCAUAUGUUGAGGUUAGGACUCUAUCAAAUAUUCUGUACUCUACCCUUGGGUUUUCACGUCCAAGAUGCAUUAUCUUGCACUUAUCCACAUUAUUGUGUUUUAUAUUUUAGAAAUAAGCUGUAACCCCAUUUUUUUUAUAUAUAUAUUCUGACUUAAGGGAGGCUUGGAUGGAGAAGUUUCAGAUGGUAGCUGCCCCAGAUUCACAGCCAAUAUUAUACAAGUACUAACGUGUAAUUCAUUUUUUGCUUUUAUUAAAGAAUAUUAUUCAUAUCACUAAUGAUCAUAUAAUCAACUGCAGCCGUCACCAUUCUUGUUAAUUCAUAUUAAAUCAAACACUGUUUCCAGGAGAUGAAGAAAUUGUCUGUUGGUUUGCAAUAAAUGGUUCGACC
rnacentral:lncRNA from 1 species